GCUUCAUCAAGAAUCGAAGGCAUCUACUAUUUAUAAUACACAAAGAUUAGAAGUGAGAAAAAUAUUGAUAUUUCUUUAUAUAAAAUUUAAAAACAAUGUAUACGAUUAUACCUUCUUCAUAAAAAUUAUGGAUAUGCAAAAAAUGUUUAUUUAUUUAUUUUGUUUAUCAGAAUUAGUAUGUAUUUUUAUUUGUUAAAUCAUAGUUUAUUAAUUAUAACAUGGACUCAAGUACGUUUAUGAACUUCAAUUAAAGAUAAAUGUUUGAUUUAACUAUUAACUACUUACCUCAUCACCAAAUUUGGAUUACUGAUCCCUUUACAAUUUAAACUGGAGAUCAAGACAAAACAAAUAAAGUUUAUUAAUGACAUCAUUCAAAUGAUUAUUUGUUUAACGAUGAUGGUUUUUCAAAAUUGAAAAGAUCUGAACUUCAAAGAAAUUAACACAAACUCACCAAAUUAGAGGAAAGGCCAAGAUAAUGAAUUUGAUGGCAGCUUCUUAAUUCUUUCAUGGUGUUGUGAAAGCAUUGGGCAGCUUUGCACCAGGUGAGAGCGACAUGUAUCAUAGGGUCGAGCAAAAAGAACAACCACACCAUAUAAGAAAUGGUGGUUUUCUAAUUAAGCCGCGAUCAACUGAUACGUGUUUCUCUCACCCGGAGUAAAAGUGACCAUUGAAAAUAUUGAAAUUUGUAAGUUUUUUUUUUCUUCUUUUUUCUUCUAAGUUUCUAAGCGUUGCCUGUUCUAUACUUAUAGUACUUGUUUGUUGAUUGGCUUUGGUUUUAUAGGAAUUAUUUAAUUUAAUAUUGUUCACGGGUCGUUUUGUAAGUCUUGU
rnacentral:lncRNA from 1 species